rnacentral:rRNA from 1 species
CUUGGCGACCAUAGCGUUUUGGACCCACCUGACUCCAUUCCGAACUCAGAAGUGAAACGAAAUAGCGCCGAUAGUAGUGUGGGGCUUCCCCAUGUGAGAGUAGGACAUCGCCAGGC